rnacentral:rRNA from 1 species
ACCUGACUGCUAUCGGAUUGAUACUAAGCCAUGCGAGUCAUUGUAGCAAUACAAGGCAUACGGCUCAGUAACGCGUAGUCAACCUAACCUAUGGACGGGAAUAACCUCGGGAAACUGAGAAUAAUGCCCGACAGAACACUAUACCUGGAAUGGUUUGUGUUCCAAAUGAUUUAUCGCCAUAGGAUGGGACUGCGGCCUAUCAGUUUGUUGGUGAGGUAAUGGCCCACCAAGACUAUUACAGGUACGGGCUCUGAGAGGAGUAGCCCGAAGAUGGGUACUGAGACACGGACCCAGGCCCUAUGGGGCGCAGCAGGCGAGAAAACUUUGCAAUGUGCGAAAGCACGACAAGGUUAAUCCGAGUGAUUUGUGCUAAACGAAUCUUUUGUUAGUCCUAGAAACACUAACGAAUAAGGGGUGGGCAAGUUCUGGUGUCAGCCGCCGCGGUAAAACCAGCACCUCAAGUGGUCAGGAUGAUUAUUGGGCCUAAAGCAUCCGUAGCCGGCUCUGUAAGUUUUCGGUUAAAUCUGUACGCUUAACGUACAGGCUGCCGGGAAUACUGCAGAGCUAGGGAGUGGGAGAGGUAGACGGUACUCGGUAGGAAGUGGUAAAAUGCUUUGAUCUAUCGAUGACCACCUGUGGCGAAGGCGGUCUACCAGAACACGUCCGACGGUGAGGGAUGAAAGCUGGGGGAGCAAACCGGAUUAGAUACCCGGGUAGUCCCAGCUGUAAACUAUGCAAACUCAGUGAUGCAUUGGCUUGUGGCCAAUGCAGUGCUGCAGGGAAGCCGUUAAGUUUGCCGCCUGGGAAGUACGUACGCAAGUAUGAAACUUAAAGGAAUUGGCGGGGGAGCACCACAAGGGGUGAAGCCUGCGGUUC